GCCUUCGUGGUAUAGUGGUCAGCAUGCUCGAUGCGUGACCGAGAGGUCCGUGGUUCAAUUCCCAGCGAAGGUG
rfam:Stegodyphus mimosarum contig91278, whole genome shotgun sequence.